ACCCCGCGGGCCGGGCCGAGCCGAGCCGGGCCGGGGGCUCCGCUCCGCUCCCGGACUCUGCCCGGCGCCCGGGGCAGCAGCUCCGCUGCGGGGCUCUCGCAGCUAACGCCCCCGGGGGAGCGUCUCCGACCCCUUGGCUCAAAGCCGUUGCUGGGCCCGUCCGCCAAGAACUGCCCUAGUUCUUGUUUGAACCCAGUUAUACUAGAUCCCAACAUCCCCUGGCAGUGAGUUCCGCAGGUAGUCUGUGUGCUGUGUGAAGAGAUGCUUCCUUUUGUUUGUUUUAAACCUGCUGCCCGUUCAUUUCAUUGGGUGAGCCCUGGUUCUUGUGCCCUAAGAAGGGGGGUGGAUGGUGCUUAUUGAGAGAGAUUUCUUCAGGUGAAGGAGAUGGGCUUCUACAUCAGCUCCUUGUCUAGAGCCGCCUGCAGCAAAGCACACCUGGACUCCCAGUCAUCCCCAAGACAUUAUCAGGUGGCUCCAAGCUACAAUUACAGAUGGACAGAUCUUCACUACGAAGCUAGCAGGGGCAACAUGGAGAAACUGCAACAACUCCUAGUGACCUCAGACAGGGAGCUGGUUGACAGGAAGGAUUACUAUGGCAAGACUCCGCUCUACUGGGCUGCGUAUAAAGGGCAGAAGCUUUCCAUGGAGUUACUCCUGCAACAUGGAGCCAGUGUGAACACGUGCUGUAAACAUGGAGGAACGCCCCUUCAUGCAGCCAUUGGCCUCUUCCCAGACUGCACUCUGCUGCUGAUACAGCAUGGUGCUGAUGUGAACCUUCAGGAUAACUGGGGAGUGACUCCCAUGUACCUGGCAGCUUGCAGUGGGCAGAUAAGAGUGUAUCCGGCUUCUGGUGCAGGCUGGCGCUGACAUCACUUACAAGAACAAGAAGACAGGAGCCACCCCUAAGCGUCUGGUCUCACAAACUGCACUGAUAUCCUGGAUUGAAUCCUGCUGCCGACAGCCGCGCUCCCUGAAACACCUCAGCCACCUGCGUAUCCGAACCACCCUUGGGCAUCAGAGGCUUGAAGCCAUUAGGGGAUUUGACCUCCCAACCCCACUGAAGCGCUACCUUAUGUAUGAGGAUCUUGUUCUGCAGGAUGGCCUGUAGCCGCGGGAAGUCUGGCCAGUCUACACCUGUACCCACAAGGACAAAGUGACAAUGGGGAGAGGAGCCAACGCUGUUUCAUCUUUUCAGUCAUCAGCUCCUCAAAGCCACAAGAGAGAUGGAUUUUGUGUUGUCAUCUUACCUUUCUGUGGCCUAAUCUGAGCCCCAUCCGGGAACGGAUCAGAGGCUGCUGUCUGUGGAGACUGCUGGUGAUUCUUACUCUGGAACAUGCCUGUAGCUCCAGCGUGCAUUGAGGAGAGCAGAGCUCUGUCUCCUGCCCUGAAGAGCUUGCUAGGUAACAUGCUACAGCAGGUCUCAGAGAGCUGGUCUCGGCCAGGAGGAGAGAAGGGGAGAAGCGACUCCUCUCCCUCCGUUUCUCGUUCAGGUAUGAGUUUGACAAGUGUUAUAGGAACAAAAAUGUGCAUACAGGCUCCUACCUGCAGGCAGACCUUUUACUGUCAAAAUACUGUCUGGCCCAAAGGAAGGCACUGGGGAGUUGCUGUGAUUCUCCAUUCCAUCUACCUGCCCAGGUACUAUAGUAUUGGAGCACCGGUGAUUCAAGGCAGGGAGGAAGGUGGUCACUGACCCAUUGCCAUCCCCUACUGAUCUGCAGCAGCUGGAUCUGUUUUUACAUGCCCCUUUGACUCAUGUCCCUCACUUCACUGCCACCACAUUCUCACCUCCUGUCACUUGCUGCACUUCCAUCAGUUUCUACCUCCUGUCCUCACUCCCAUCCCACGUUACUUGCGUCAGGCAGCUUGUUUUCCAUGAAGUGUGCGUAGAGGACAGAAGAAUCAGUUCCAGCCCACUCUCCAAAAGGCCAGAUUUUCAGCUCCCCUGGAAAACAAUGGUGACCCUCUGUCCUUGCUCCAUGGAGGAGAAUCAGAGCUGCUGGGUGGGGAGCCCUUUUGGAAGUGUAGCCCAGAGUGUGCCAGUACCUGUUGGAUUCACUGGAUCUGAUUUCCCUGUAUUAAGGCUGCCUCAGAUCCCUGGGCAGAGCCUGGACCAAGUGUCAGUACAACCAGGACAUGUGAUCUGAGUCUUCAUAGCCUGUCUUGGCCACAGAGCUGGGUCGGGGGCAGAGCCUGACUUUUAUGUAAAUACUGUAAAAUUAUUGCAACUAAUUGAUAACAGUGCCCUGGAGCCAAGCUGACAGGAGGUGGGGGCUGUUAGGGGUGUGGCUGGCUGGUGCAGAGAGCCAUGGGGUGUGACUGUGUCCUCAUUCAAACUAAAAUACAGGCAAAGGCUGCCUGAGUGUUUAAGAAAACACAAGCCACAAGGUGGGGGAGCUCUGCCCCCUGCCUCAGUGACCUUCCUCAUCUGAGUCACAUGGUGGGGGGCUCUCUAUCACAACUGCAGGCCUGUCUGUGUGCCCCUUGUGGGUAUAGCCAGUCCAGGAUGUUUGGCUCUUUGGCAAGGCCCAGCUCCAAAUUAGGAGUGAGGAUUUCUCUAGUGGGGUUGGAGUGAGCCAGUCCCCAUAGGGAUUUUCCUCACUGUACUCUCUAUCUUCAUUGGCAGUUAUUCUUAAUGCUGGAGGAAGAAGGGUUAGAGGUCACAGAACAACAGCGGGGCUGGGGGGGGAGGAGAGAGAAGACCUACUCUCUAACUCACAGCCUGACCUCCCUGUGCAAUGUUGUGGCUUAGCUGGAAGAUCUAAUUUUAGGAGGUGAUAACCCCUCCCCCGUGACUUCCCCAACAGAUAGCAAGUCAGCUUGUGCAGCAUUAGCAAGAUAGAUUUAGGAAUAAGAUCCAGGUGUGGGUCCCUGGAAGAGAGAAGGACCCAAAGAAUGUCCAGCUUUACUGAAAAGCGGCAGUGCACAAUGGGGGAGGAAGAUGUAUGAUGUCAUUUUAAUACCCUUGUUUGCAGUUAUUCCUGUUGCAAAUACUAGCUGCUAUAGGACCUGGGGGAAUAGGUAGGGCGACAAGGGAUGUGGGUCUCCCAGAGCAGGGCCCUCUAGAAUGUGAUUAUGCAACUGUAUAAAGGGCCCCACAAUUUCUUUCUGCCAGGAUGGUGUAUAAAACCAAAUCCAUUUUCCAGCCCUCAGCUUGUCGGCUGCUGUAUAGGAGCUUGCAGGAGGGGAAAACUGUAGCUGGCUGAAGAGCAGGGGGACCUGCAACAGCAUGGGGUAGAGGGGCUGAUACUCUUUCUGGGAGGUGGCUGACACUUGAAACUCUUUAGGCCUGAACUCUGGCCAGCUAAGGGCCAUGUCAGAUACCAUCCCCAGCUGUACAUCUCUUAAUGCACUGCUAUCCCUGCCAGCCUCUUAAGAUGCCCCCACUGCCUCUCAUGACAGCCUGCCCCCUACUUCUCCCUUUUAGGAACAGCACAGCUUAUUGAAUGAUUUUGCAGUUAAUAUUGCAGCCUAGUACUGCAGAGCUCAUUGUAGCCCACUCACUGAAAUAAGGAGUUUUGCUGCAUAAUCUAAGAUUUACCUGUUGAAUAAUACAGAGACUGAGGGUCUAGGAGGAGUGGAGAGCUCUUAGUGUUACCCUAAGAUUUCAAAAGCCAAUUACGUUACCUACAAUAGCGCUUUUAAUUUCCAAAAAAGGGUAACCACGGUUGUGUUCUGCCCUAAAGGAAUUGCCAGAGUAUUACCAGGGAGCUUGUCUCUGACCGGCAGAGGGCUCCCCAGAGCAAGCUAGUUUUGCUGACCCCUGACAGGACGUGGGUACAGCCCUCUGCUCAAGGAUAGGCCCACAAAUAGUAGUUCUUUGAAAACAGAAAUAAUCUUUAUUAAAAAAGGAGAUAAGUUACAGGAAAUUUAAUAAAGGAAGAAAGAAGGCAUAGAACAUAAGGAAACAAUAGGAUUACAUGUAAUAUAAUGGCGCAGCAAAAUAAAAGAAACUAUGUAAGAAAACACACAUCUAAAAUAAAUAUAGCAGUUUCAACGUAGCAUAUAUAUGAAUGAAUAAAUAAAAAAAUAAAAUUAAAUAAAAGAGAGCGCGAGAGAGCGAGAUUCCUCAUACACAAGAGUUUUUCAUUCUAGUAAUACAAUACUUAAUACAAUGAAAUAUGCGUGGCCUCUCUACACCUAUGAGUACAGUCACAGUUAAAAGCAAUUACUUGACAUCCACAUUAAUACCCAUCAUUAGACAUUUAACAUUUGAUUAACAUUUAACUAUUCACACUUAACAUCCUAACAUUUAACAUCCAGUAAGCGCUGGCCAGGCGGUUAUCAGAUGGGUAAUAGGGGAAGAUCUCACUCAAACCACAGGCAGUCAUCUUUAUUUACAGGUGAAACCCAUACACUCUUGGAUAGUAAAUAGAAAGAUUAGGCUUACACAGACACCACAAUUCCCUCUGAUCGUCUAAGAUAGUAGUUCUCAAACUUUUUUUCCCCCCCACACAGACCACUUGAAAAUUGCUGAGGGUCUCGGCGGACCACUUAAUGAUCUUUCCAAGUGUUGUUUGUACCGUUCGUUAACUAUUGUAAAGCUCUUUGGAUAAAAGCGCUAUUAAAAAAAAACUUUUGUUCUACAAAUAAAAGCACAAAACUCAUAUUUUAA